UGGUUAGGCCGCCGGCUCCAGACCGCCAGGUUGUGAUCCUGGCUGUCGCGGGUUCGAGUCCCGUCA
rnacentral:tRNA from 1 species